rnacentral:rRNA from 1 species
UACGUAGGGGGCAAGCGUUGUCCGGAUUUAUUGGGCGUAAAGAGCGUGUAGGCGGCCAGGUAGGUCUGCUGUGAAAACUCGAGGCUUAACCUCGAGAUGUCGGCGGAAACCAUCUGGCUAGAGUCCGGAAGAGGAGAAUGGAAUUCCCGGUGUAGCGGUGAAAUGCGUAGAUAUCAGUCGGAACACCGGUGGCGAAGGCGGCUUCUUGGGCCGUUUCUGACGCUGAUGCGCGAAAGCCAGGGGAGCGAACGGG